rnacentral:rRNA from 1 species
UACGUAGGGUGCAAGCGUUGUUCGGAAUUACUGGGCGUAAAGGGCUCGUAGGCGGCCAACUAAGUCAGACGUGAAAUCCCCAGGCUCAACCUGGGAACUGCGUCUGAUACUGGAUGGCUUGAAUCCGGGAGAGGGAUGCAGAAUUCCAGGUGUAGCGGUGAAAUGCGUAGAUAUCUGGAGGAAUACCGGUGGCAAAGGCGGCAUCCUGGACCGGCAUUGACGCUGAGGAGCGAAAGCCAGGGGAGCAAACGGG